UUCCUGCACCACGACAAGUGACGGUGAGAUGAGGAGUGACGAAGAAGGGUAGGUUGUCCCUGAUUUGGUAAAGGGUUCAACUCUGUAGAUGGAGAUUGUAGGAAUAAACGCAGUCUCAUUACAUCAAGAGAGGAUGAGGAAGGGCUUUGCCCUAUAAACCAAUCGAUCCCAUGCUUCCAAGAAAAGCUUCGCAUUGAGUCCUUUUCGUGUCCGUACCGCAAACCGACACAGGUAGGCGAGGUGAGAAACCUAAGGCGCUUGAGUGAACUCUGGCUAAGGAACUCGGCAAAUUGCAUCCGUAACUUAGGGAGAAGGAUGGCCUCGCAAUGUGAAUGAUUUUCAUCAGGAGCGUUUCGAGGUUGCAAAAACUAGGCGGUAGCGGCUGUUUAACAAAAACACAGGUCUCUGCGAAGCCGUAAGGCGACGUAUAGGGACUGACGCCUGCCCGGUGCUGGAAGGUUAAAAGGAGUUGUCAGCUCGUAAGAGCGAAGCAAUGAAUUGAAGCCCCAGUAAACGGCGGCCGUAACAAUAACGGUCCUAAGGUAGCAAAAUUCCUUGUCGGGAAAGUUCCGACCUGCACGAAUGGCGUAACGAUCUCCCCGCUGUCUCAAACGUGGACUCAGCGAAAUUGAAUUGUCUGUGAAGAUGCAGACUUCCCGCGGUUAGACGGAAAGACCCCAUGCACCUUUACUAUAGCUUCGCACUGGCAUCAGGAUUGCGAUGUGCAGGAUAGGCGGUAGACUUUGAAGCCGGGACGCCAGUUCCGGUGGAGUCAUCCUUGAGAUACCGCCCUUCGCACUCUUGAUGUCUAACCGCGGCCCGUUAUCCGGGUCCGGGACCCUGCGUGGUGGGUAGUUUGACUGGGGCGGUCGCCUCCUAAAGAGUAACGGAGGCGCGCGAAGGUUGGCUCAGAGUGGUCGGAAAUCGCUCGUUGAGUGCAAUGGCAGAAGCCAGCCUGACUGCAAGACUGACACGUCGAGCAGAGUCGAAAGACGGCCAUAGUGAUCCGGUGGUCCCGAGUGGAAGGGCCAUCGCUCAACGGAUAAAAGGUACGCUGGGGAUAACAGGCUGAUGAUGCCCAAGAGUCCAUAUCGACGGCAUCGUUUGGCACCUCGAUGUCGGCUCAUCUCAUCCUGGGGCUGGAGCAGGUCCCAAGGGUAUGGCUGUUCGCCAUUUAAAGAGGUACGUGAGCUGGGUUUAGAACGUCGUGAGACAGUUCGGUCCCUAUCUGCCGUGGGUGUAGGAUACUUGAGAGGAGUUGCCCCUAGUACGAGAGGACCGGGGUGAGCGUUCCACUGGUGGACCAGUUGUCGUGCCAACGGCAGUGCUGGGUAGCUAUGAACGGACAGGAUAAACGCUGAAGGCAUCUAAGCGUGAAGCCCCCCUCAAAACAAGGUAUCCCUGAAGAGCCGUGGAAGACCACCACGUCGAUAGGCCGGAGAUGUACGCGCAGCAAUGC
rnacentral:rRNA from 1 species